UGCAAGUCGAGCGGACCGACGGGAGCUUGCUCCCUUAGGUCAGCGGCGGACGGGUGAGUAACACGUGGGUAACCUGCCUGUAAGACUGGGAUAACUCCGGGAAACCGGGGCUAAUACCGGAUGCUUGAUUGAACCGCAUGGUUCAAUUAUAAAAGGUGGCUUUUACCUACCACUUACAGAUGGACCCGCGGCGCAUUAGCUAGUUGGUGAGGUAACGGCUCACCAAGGCGACGAUGCGUAGCCAACCUGAGAGGGUGAUCGGCCACACUGGGACUGAGACACGGCCCAGACUCCUACGGGAGGCAGCAGUAGGGAAUCUUCCGCAAUGGACGAAAGUCUGACGGAGCAACGCCGCGUGAGUGAUGAAGGUUUUCGGAUCGUAAAACUCUGUUGUUAGGGAAGAACAAGUACCGUUCGAAUAGGGCGGUACCUUGACGG
rnacentral:rRNA from 1 species